rnacentral:rRNA from 1 species
AUGAAGCACCGCUUGAAGUCAACGAGGCCCUCAUCCGCAAUCAAGCAAACUGAAGCAAGAACGAGGCUAACUCGAGAAAGGUACUGGGCGCUUGCCUUCCUCAUGAUUCUCAUCCCUUGGGAGGUUUGGUCGGAGCGCAAUGCUAGAGUCUUCCGCAACUCGGCGGCCCCUUCCAUGAUCAUGAUCAACAAAAUCAAAUAGGAGGUGUCGCUUUGGGCUUUGGCUGGAGCGAAAUAUUUGGGUGUUGUAACGUCGCGAGAGUAG